GGUAGCGUGGCCGAGCGGUUUAAGGCGCUGGUUUUAAGCACCAGUCUCUUCGGAGGCGUGGGUUCGAAUCCCACCGCUGCCA
rnacentral:tRNA from 1 species